CAGGCUGAACAAGCUAGGCCAGGGCUCUCCCACUGAGCGACUUCGCAGCCCGGCAUGACAUCUUAACGUUGGACAGUGGAAACUCUCCACAAGGAAAGAGCGCGGUGGGCUCAAGCAGUAGCUCUAUGGAUCAUGUGAGAUCAGCAAGAUUAGAAAUGUGAAGAAUGUGAAGUGUAUGAACUAAGACCGGAACUAUCUACAGCAGAAAAGAUCAGAGGGGACCAUGACCAGCACAGGGAAGUGCCACGUCAGGGCACUGAGAAGGAGCAUUUGCUUCUUGGUGUGCAGGUGCAUCUGGGGCUGCCAUGGAGGCUGGAGACCCAGCCUUUCCCAGGAUGUGGUGGUGCUGCUCUUUACCCUGCACAUUCAGUAAGAACAAGGAAACUCCCCAGAAGAGGCUCACGUCUGUUCCAGCACCAUCAGCUCUCAGCUCCCAACCCAGCCUUCCACACUCUGUUGGGAUGGCCCCUGCCCCCUCUGUUCUCCUUCCUGGCUGGCUUCCAGUUAUAUGCCACCAAGACUGGGCACCCAGAGUGGGACCAGAAGCUGAGCAGGGAGAAGAGACACGCUCCCUCCAUGUGCAUGGGUGGCCCUGCCAACCGUCCACUGCCAGGGCUCUCACAGUGGUCUUCAGUGUUUCCUAACUCCCUGGAAGCAAGCCCCGAAGCCCCCAGAGCCUUCAGCACCAGCUGGGCAGCCCCCUCUCCCAAGGUCUGAGCCCCACAACUAGGUGGCAUCCUCCAGACUCCAGGGUUGCCAGCACCUGGCAGUCCCCCCUCCCAGGGCUAGGGCCUCAGGCCUCAGAGGUCUGCCCUCCCCUGAAGUCUGAUGGCCCACCCCCAUCCCCUGCUGACAGCUGUGUCCUGCUGGUCACCUCUGUGUAAUUGCAAACCCCUCUGCUUUGUGGCCCUCCAACACCGUGUAUUGAUCGACCCCUUCCUUGGGUUAAAUUCUGUCUGCUAAAACUACCAAUGUGGCUUCUGUUUUCCUGACGGGACCCCGACUCAUCAAGGAACAUAAAGUGAGGACACCAGGCAAGAGGAGGUGGCUUCCAUGCAACGAGCCAAGGAGGGUUGCAAGGGAAAUUAGAAGUCAAGAAUAUGUGGCUCAUGAGAAAAGUCACCAGGCAAAGGAAGGAGAAAGAGAAUGGCGUCUCAGGCAAAGGAGAAGGGAGAAGCAGAGCUGCCCCAAGCCCAGGCCAAGAGCCAGGGGCACUGAGAAUGGCACAGCAUCCCUGCCAGCCCUCCACAGGUCAUCCCUGAUUCCGUGGCCCACAGACCAGGACACCCAAGCUAUUCUGAAGAACAGAUUAUAAAAAUUUCAAGUCUUCCUCCUUCCUUCCUCUCCCAGAUAUAACCAUGGCUGGACUGUCCACUGAGAUGCAUGUGAUGCAGACAAAGCCAUAGAAGGCAGGAUGGCCCCUCUGGAGCGUCGGGUGCCCUCGCAACCAGGCUGGAGCUGGCAGAGCAUGCCAGAGGGAGAGUGGCGCCUCAGGCGAUAUCCACACGUGCAGCCGGAUCUCACAGUUUCACAGGGAUCCUGUUGCUGCCUCUGCGGGGAGGUGGACUGUCCUCAGGACUUCUGGCCAGCUGGUGGAGCUACUCCAGCUGCCCCUUCCUCGGUGCAAGGCACCUGCCUCAGGUUACAGGCCUCCUCCCGCCUGAGUCGCAGCGCUGAAGGCCCGGCUCCUGCCCUAGAUCUCCUGAGCACUUCUGGGUGCCUGUGAAGAAGGAUGGCAGCUCGGCUUCAAAGGGCUGGGUGAGAAAGAAUAAGGCUGCUGUGUCUGCUUUAUCCCACCGAGUCAGCUUGUUAAUAGACCGGCCACUGCUCUGUAAAUAGGACGCUCGGAUAAAACACCUGCAGCUGGAAAGUGGAGCCCACGGAGCAAGAAGUCAGCUUGGACUCCAGGGCGUGAGACUCACAGGGACCCCCGUGCUGUCGGGACUCUUGCAGGGGUGCUGGCAGGGGGACUUCAGGGGCUAGUGGCCACACCCACCGUGCGCUUCCAGCCAAGUCCAAAGGGCCACCUUAUUCCUACCCCGUCCCUGGCAGGUUUGACUCAUUUGAGCCCACCCCUUCCUAUUCACUGCCGAGCUGCUGUGUCUAGUCCUGCAAAAUUUAGAUGCAGACUUCAAAACAACAUUUCCACAAAUAAGUUACCACUGGGUUAGUGGUCUAGGGCCACCAUGACACACCACAGAGCAAGUGGCUUCAACAACACACCUUGAUUUCUCACUCUUCUGGAGGCUGGAAGUCCAGUGCCCGCGUGGUUGGGUCCUGCUAGGGCAGACAGCUGCCUUCUCCUGGUGUCCUGGCAGCGGUCUUCUUGUAUGUGGUCGAUUCUAUGGGAUUAGGACCCACCUUUAUGGCUUUCACCUUAAUCACCCACCUUAAUUUUAAGCACCUCCAAACGCAGUCAUGCUGGGGUUGAGAGACACAAUCCAGCCCACCCCCAAUCUCCCAUGCGAUGGGCUUCCAGAUCCAAACGCUCCUGCACUCUGUCGUCCUUGGACUGAAACUGCCACCUCCUACAGCUCCUCCUCUCAGCUGGACAUUGGCCUGGCUUCAGUUACUAGAAAAUCUGGAGGUCAAAAUGGCAUCAGCCCUUUCCUGUCCAGAGUCUGGUGUCUCCCUGCUGAAAGGACCAGGGCCGAGUCCUUCCUGGGGAAUCACAGACAGCAUGAGCUCAGACGGGCGGCCACUCCCAGGUCCCCCCCUUCAGGUUGGUGUUUUGGAGCGCAGGUGGAGGGGCAAGCAGGGAUGGCUGCAGCCUCGAGGGGCGUGUGCUGCAUUCCACAUGGGCCAGGUGCAGCAGAGCCACUGUGGGCUCACGUCAUACCGACUUACAGGUCACGCUUAGGACGGCCCCAGGAUUCCACACCAGCAGGAUGAGCAAGUGCCAGGCUGCCCUGCACAUCAGACAGCAGAAGGACAAGCCACCGGGCAAACCAGGUGUUCUGGUUUGGAUGUGAGGUGUCCCCAAAAUCUCCUGUUAAUGCAGGAAUGUUCCGAGGUGAAAUGAUUGGACCGUGAGGAGCAUUGACCUAAUCAAUACCUCCCAGUUUGGAUGGACUCUGGGCGGUAACUGGGUGGGUGGGGCAGGGCUGCAGGAGAUGGGACACUGUGGGGAGCCCUGGAAGGGCAUCUUCCUGUGGCCCCUUCUCCCUUCUCUCUGCUUCCCGCUGCCUGGACUGAGUAGCCAUCCUUCCCCACGCCCUUCCGCCUCGACGCACAGCCUCACCCAGGCCACAGCCAUGGAGUUGGCCGUCUGUGGACUGAGACCUCUGAAACUGUGAGCCAAAGCAAAUUUUUUCUCCUCCAAGUUGUUCUUGUCAGGUAUUUUGGUCAGCAGCAAAAAGGACCAACAUGAAAGGAUGCACCAAGUGAAGAUGUGCAGCUCAUUCUUACAUCAGGAGUUCACUGGCAACCCCAGGGUCAUAGACUGAAUGAGAUCCUUUACUUAUUUACAUUGACACUCUAAAAUCACUCCCAAUGUAUCUGUAUAUUUUACAUCCUGAUAGUGUGUGGUGCUCUGUGCUCAAGAUAACCUACUAAAACCACAAAACACACCCUCUACAGCUGCCUUGGCAGCCACCCUGAGGCUGGGAGCCACCUGGGAAGUUACUUGAGGGCGUUUGGAGCUCUCGCACUCCAGAGAGCAGGUCUGCCUGGAGUUUUGCUGCCUGCCUGCCAAAUGCCCAAAGACAGCCACAAAUACCUAUGAGCUGGAGCAGGUGGUGGUGGGGUGUUGUAGCCUGCAUGGUUUUAAAUUGACACUUAAAAUUUCAUCAUAAGUUAAAAUGGUGGCAAAGGAUAUAAUCUGAGUGUAGUAAAGGCAUUGACUGAAGCUCACAUCAUUUCUUUGUACCCAACGGAAUCUGUAUGCCAUGAAAAUCUUGUAGCACCCUCACCCAUUUAGUAAUGCAGACAAGGUCUUCUAAAAAGUCUGAAUUUCACAUUCUGCUUUUCCCCUUAAAACUGUAUUUUAAUAUACUUUUUCCAUGGAAUGGAUCUUGAUGUAACGUACUUUCGUUCCUGAAGUGUGAUGACUCUAGCAUACUUCUCUGCAGCCAAAAUACAUAUGUAAGUAGAAACAUGUACGUUUUAGGUGUGAUCAUAAAGCUCCGAGUGUCAGAAGCACUUAUUCUAGGCUGUGCUUUUUUAACUUUUACCAGUGCAUGAUUGAUAAAACAGUGCAGCAUGCCAAUUUUAUUAUCGAGAGUUACAUAUGAAAAAUGGUUCUGGGGAGAUUGCUAGGAUGA